AUGGCCGGCCGCCUCGCCGGCACCGGCGCUUCCUCGCCCCUCCCCCGCGCGCUCCUCCUCCUUGCCGUGGUAGCCCUCUUCUCUAUAUCCUUCCUCUCCCUCCGCUCGCUCCGCCCCGCCGCGGCCCCCUCCCUCCCCCUAGAUGAACCCCGCCGCCUCCCGCUCUCCUCCCCUCUGCCGGCGUCGCGCCCGUCGGUCUACCACUCGCCCGAGGCGUUCGCGGCGGGGUACGCGGAGAUGGAGCGGAGCUUCAAGGUCUACAUCUACCCGGACGGCGACCCCAAGACCUUCUACCAGACGCCCCGGAAGCUCACGGGCAAGUACGCCAGCGAGGGAUACUUCUUCCAGAACAUUCGGGAGAGCCGCUUUCGCACCGAAGACCCCGACAAGGCCGACCUCUUCUUCGUCCCCAUCUCGCCCCACAAGAUGCGCGGCAAGGGUACUUCAUAUGAAAAUAUGACAAUGAUAGUUAAGGAUUAUGUUGAAGGCUUGAUAAGCAAGUACCCUUACUGGAACCGCACACUAGGAGCGGACCACUUCUUUGUCGCAUGCCAUGAUGUAGGCGUGAGGGCGUUCGAAGGACUUCCGUUCAUGGUGAAGAACUCUAUUAGAGCUGUCUGCUCGCCAAGCUAUAAUGUUGACUUUAUCCCUCAUAAGGAUGUUGCUCUGCCUCAAGUAUUACAGCCAUUUGCUCUACCCGAAGGAGGGAAUGACAUUGAAAACAGGACAAAUCUUGGAUUUUGGGCUGGUCAUCGCAACUCGAAAAUACGAGUUAUUUUGGCACGAGUCUGGGAGAAUGAUACAGAGCUUGCUAUUAGCAAUAAUCGGAUUAAUAGAGCUAUUGGAGAGCUAGUUUAUCAGAAGCAGUUCUACCGUACUAAGUUCUGUAUCUGCCCUGGUGGCUCUCAAGUUAAUAGUGCUCGUAUAUCUGAUUCAAUACACUAUGGCUGUGUCCCUGUUAUUUUGUCGGACUACUAUGAUUUGCCUUUCAAUGAUGUUCUUGACUGGAGAAAGUUCGCGGUUGUACUUAAGGAGCGCGACGUAUAUGAACUAAAGAGUAUCCUGAAAUCUAUAUCACAGCAAGAAUUUGUUGCAUUGCACAAAUCUUUAGUUCAGGUUCAGAAACACUUUGUAUGGCACUCACCUCCUGUUCCUUAUGAUGCAUUCCACAUGGUUAUGUAUGAGCUGUGGCUGCGGCAUCAUGUGAUCAAGUACUAA
rnacentral:rRNA from 1 species